rnacentral:lncRNA from 1 species
GGCAAUGAAAAAAAAAUUAAAAAUUAAAAAAAUGAACAGAAUGGAUGUCUCCGGAUUGCAAAUCAAUAUGCUUGGAAAUACUUUCAGAAUAUAUGUGAAAUACAAGGACUUCUACUCAACAUUUGGAUGCGAAAAACAGUGACCUAACAAGAUUAAGCUUGAGGCAACAAGAAUGGACAUACCAUCCACGAUGUCAUCUCUUGACCCUAUCUCUACAAGCAACUAGACAACAAAUUAAUCCCGAAACUUAUCACUGUUUAGGUUCCAAGUUAAGGUAAUUCUCAGCUAAAUAAACAAUCUUAGUAUACAGUAAAAACGACAAGGAACAACAUGGAACAAAUAGGUAAAAAUCGCUAAAUGAAAUUAUAAUUCAUAUGUGAAAUAUGGUUAAUUAAUUUCCAAGUGUUCUGCUUAUAAAGUGAUGGGGGAGCAUCUAGAAAGAUCUUCAAGAUUGCUUGUGUCCACUGGGGAAUUAGGCUAAGGUUUUAGUUAAAGGUCGUACCCAGUGCACAAGGCUCCCGCUUUACGCAGGGUCUGGGAGAGGUGAAUGUCGGCUAACCUUACCCCCAUUUAUGAAGAGGCUGCUCCCAAGUCUCGAACCCGAGAUCUACUGCUCAUGGGCGAAGGCACUUGCCAUCGCACCAAGUGCGACAGGCUAAGGUUUUAGUUAAUCUGGGAAAUUUAGUUCUAUAAUAUUUUCUAUGCUUCCCUAUGUGUUUAAUGUAUUCUAAAUAGGAAUGUGAUUAAUUAGGUAAGUCCUAGUUGGAUGAGAUUUCUUAGCAAACAAGAUUAGGGUUUCUGGGCAGCUGUACUCUAGUAUAAAUAGGCUAUGAAGAGAACCAUGUAUCCAGUGUUUUUUAUCGAAUGUAUUCCAGUUUCAGAUUUAAGAAUUUCGCUUGGGAUUCUCCCUAGAACUCAAUUAUUGUCCUUUCUACUUCGAUUCUAUUGCUUUUAUCUCUCUAUUUCCUUGCUAUUUUACCCGCUCGACAGCAGCUUAUUGUGAUUGCCCUGCAUCAUAAAGUCUUCACUAGAUAGUCGAUAUCAUAU